GCCGAGAUAGCUCAGUUGGUAGAGCAUCCCCAUGGUAAGGGGAAGGUCACGAGUUCGAAUCUCGUUCUCGGCU
rnacentral:tRNA from 1 species